rnacentral:lncRNA from 1 species
AUAAAAAUGUUGCUAUUUUAAGUGAAAUGCAUCUGGGUAGAAUAAAUCUCCUUAGGGCAGAUUCUGCAAAGUGUGACACUGGCUUUAUUUUAUCACACUAGGCACCAGAAUCUUGAUAUUAAACAGUCUGAGAGAGUCAACCCUGAUUAUAGAGGUGAGGGGGUUUUUGUUUGUUUGUGUGAACAUUUGUCUUUUUCUUUAGGGUUUUGUAAAGAUGACAAAAUGAUUUGUUGGCAAUAAGUGAGCACACAUUAUGUAAUGACAACUAUUUUACAGUCUCCUAUAUGUAUAAAGUAUAUAUUCACAGACAACAAACUGUAAAGGAUAUACAGUGUGUUCUGAUAUCAUUGUCUUCUCUUCUCUCAAUAAGGAAGAGACAGUAACUUAACCAAUGCAGCUACAGGGAUAAAAGAUGCCCUUCAUUGCAUCCCACAUGGCCCCUCCCCAUGCCAUCUGCCUCAGCAUGCCAUGCCACUGAUAUGCUGAGAAAUAUGGAGAUGCUUCAGCUGGAUACUUUGAGUCAGAAUCUUUCACAAGACUGCAGUGAAAGUGCCAGCCAGGACUUAGGUUUCAUCCAAAGGAAUAAUAAUGCAGAUUGA